ACGAUCCUAUUGAGGAUCGCGGG
rnacentral:snRNA from 1 species